GAAUAACUUUAGAGUCCCACAAGUUCAAACUAACAUUUUCAGACCAAGCAAUCCAAUCAUAAAGAGCACAAGUUCUAUUGCUAAUUAAUUCAUUCAAACAGGGUAAAUGGAAGGGAGGAAACCAUCAGUUGUGUUAGCAAGAGCAGGGUAUUUUUUAGGCUAUUUCCAAUCAUCAGAAUGUAAUACAAAAUCAACCAAGUAAAAUUUGCUUUUAAU
rnacentral:misc_RNA from 1 species